rnacentral:rRNA from 1 species
AUUGAACGCUGGCGGCAUGCUUUACACAUGCAAGUCGAACGAGUGGCGAACGGGUGAGUAAUAUAUCGGACCGUACCGACUAAUGGGGGAUAACCAAUCGACAGAUUGGCUAAUACCCCAUUUUCUUCUACCGGCCGAUAACUGAUUGGCUCGUUGGGGGGGAAAGGGCCUACCAAGGCGACGAUCAGUAGCGGGUCUGGGAGGAUGAUGGGCCACCCGGGGACUGGGACACGGCCCAGACUCCUACGGGAGGCAGCGGUGGGGAAUUUGGGAAAAGGGGGGCAACCCGGAUCCAGCCAUGCGGGGUGGAUGAAGAAGGCUUUCGGGUUGUAAAGUACUUUUGUGAGGGAAGCGGAACCUAAAGAAUAAGCACCGGUUAAUUACGGGCCAGCAGCCGCGGUAAUA